GUGACCAAAACCAAGCUCUGUCUAAUUUUUAUUCCUCUUGCUUGCAUUCCUCUUCGGGGAGGGCUGAGGAGGCAACUGCACACUUGCUUCAGCUCCAACUCCUGCUUCCAUAUUUCUGCCCGAAAAUACUCAGAUCAUUCUGUUGUGCACUGAAGUUGUAGGUGACUGGCAAAGCGCAGAGAUAUUGUACUGGUUUCAGCUAGGAGACACCCAGAUGGCACAGUGGGGCACUCGUCACUGAAUUGUCUUCCUUGGAAGACACGAAGAAAAUAAAACUCAACUUUCAUCCAGCAUCAGUGAGGAAGAAAAUUCAACACAUGAAGUGAAGGCUGUGAAAACUGAACCUCUGGAGAUACCAGAGAUCAAGAAGAGGAAGUGCCUUAGCCGCAGUGAAUUGAAAGAGUUGAGGAAGCAUCACUUUAUAAGAAGAGGCCAAGUAGUUCUAAGGGUAUGACAAAGGAGUGUAACAAUGCGAAGUUGAAAGGUAUACGGGAGCAGAGCAAACUAUGCUGGAAAUUUUGAAGGCUGAAGAUGAAGCUUUUGGAAACCCAAUUUCCAGGAGAGAUUUGAGGAUGGCAGCUCGUAAGCGGAUUGGUGAUACUGGGCUGCUUGAUCACUUACUGAAG